rnacentral:rRNA from 1 species
GAUGAACGCUAGCGGCAGGCUUAACACAUGCAAGUCGAGGGGUAGAGGCUUUCGGGCCUUGAGACCGGCGCACGGGUGCGUAACGCGUAUGCAAUCUGCCUUGUACCGGGGGAUAGCCCAGAGAAAUUUGGAUUAAUACCCCAUAGUAUUUUCGGUUGGCAUCAACUGAUUAUUAAAGUUUUUCGGUACAAGAUGAGCAUGCGUCCCAUUAGCUAGUUGGUAUGGUAACGGCAUACCAAGGCUACGAUGGGUAGGGGUCCUGAGAGGGAGAUCCCCCACACUGGUACUGAGACACGGACCAGACUCCUACGGGAGGCAGCAGUGAGGAAUAUUGGUCAAUGGUCGCAAGACUGAACCAGCCAUGCCGCGUGCAGGAUGAAGCAUCUAUGGUGUGUAAACUGCUUUUGUACGGGAAGAAACACCCCUACGUGUAGGGGCUUGACGGUACCGUAAGAAUAAGGAUCGGCUAACUCCGUGCCAGCCGCCGCAGUAA